rnacentral:rRNA from 1 species
ACGGGUGAGUAAUGUCUGGGAAACUGCCUGAUGGAGGGGGAUAACUACUGGAAACGGUAGCUAAUACCGCAUAACGUCGCAAGACCAAAGAGGGGGACCUUCGGGCCUCUUGCCAUCGGAUGUGCCCAGAUGGGAUUAGCUAGUAGGUGGGGUAACGGCUUACCUAGGCGACGAUCCCUAGCUGGUCUGAGAGGAUGACCAGCCACACUGGAACUGAGACACGGUCCAGACUCCUACGGGAGGCAGCAGUGGGGAAUAUUGCACAAUGGGCGCAAGCCUGAUGCAGCCAUGCCGCGUGUGUGAAGAAGGCCUUAGGGUUGUAAAGCACUUUCAGCGAGGAGGAAGGGUUCAGUGUUAAUAGCACUGUGCAUUGACGUUACUCGCAGAAGAAGCACCGGCUAACUCCGUGCCAGCAGCCGCGGUAAUACGGAGGGUGCAAGCGUUAAUCGGAAUUACUGGGCGUAAAGCGCACGCAGGCGGUUUGUUAAGUCAGAUGUGAAAUCCCCGAGCUUAACUUGGGAACUGCAUUUGAAACUGGCAAGCUAGAGUCUUGUAGAGGGGGGUAGAAUUCCAGGUGUAGC